UACGAAGGGAGCUAGCGUUGUUCGGAAUCACUGGGCGUAAAGCGCACGUAGGCGGAUGUGUCAGUCAGGGGUGAAAUCCCGGGGCUCAACCUCGGAACUGCCUUUGAUACAGCAAGUCUUGAGUUCGAGAGAGGUGGGUGGAAUUCCUAGUGUAGAGGUGAAAUUCGUAGAUAUUAGGAAGAACACCGGUGGCGAAGGCGGCCCACUGGCUCGACACUGACGCUGAGGUGCGAAAGCGUGGGGAGCAACAGG
rnacentral:rRNA from 1 species